CUCACCUCUGCUUUCUCUCUUUGGCUGCGCACUUCUCCCUACAAUCUAAAUCCACCCAUUCUUCUUCUCAGUUAUCCCACUGCAAUCUCUGUCUCGCCGUUCCUGAGCCGUGGAACUUUGGAGACAUUUUGUUUCAACAUCAGUCUUGUCUCUCUUCUUGCCUUCUUCAAUUAUGGUCUAAAUAGCAAGUACCAAGGUUGAAGUCAUAAUAGCAAAGGCAUAUUUUGGACUUCUUGCAAUAGGUGCAAGACAUAUUCUGAAUACAGUAAUGUGUAUUUGAAUGAACUCUUAGAGUGUCCUCGUGAUGAGGACGUCAAAUCUUUAAGCACUCAAAUGCCCGUGAGACCCAUCACUCGAAGCCGAGCUCGUCAGUUUCAAAAAUCCGUCACUACAUUGAUCAUACGUUUUUUCAUGGAGAAUUAAUUUAAGGAUGAUGCUUGGAGACCACUUAGCCCUCACCUGACGCGCCUUCAAUGGGACCCGCAAGAAUCCCAAUUGAAAGAUCAAGAGAAUCGCUAAUCAUGGAAGAUUAUCAAGGGAAUUAUCACUUAUGGAGAGAAUCACUAAUCAUGGAAGUAUAUCAAGGGAAUCCUCACUUAUGGAGAGAAUCACUAAUCAUGGAAGUAUAUCAAGGGAAUCAUCACUUAUUUCCUUUUAUUAUAAGUUUCCAUAUAGUAUAAUUCUAUAUCUAAAACUUCCCUAAUUAAUUAUUUCCUUAUUGUUAGACUUACCUUUUAGUUUGUUUCCUUUAUUAUUUGUUGCCUUUUAUUUUCCUCAAGGACCUCUAUUUAAGGUCCUUGUCUAUCAUUGUAAUGCGAACCUUUUUUUACAUCUUGAAUUGAAUUUCACUUUUAUAUUUUCUAGUGUUAGGGAGUAAUUUCCUCGCAUUUAGAAUCUCAAAUCGGGUCUUUGGAGUGAUUCCAUCGGUUCGUGGCUUCCAAUCCUUUGUAGUGGGAUUUAGCCUAUUGUUUGUGUUUUACCUGUGGAUUGAUUUCAGGUCCGAGACUUAUUCUCGUGGUUGGUUAUCAUCCAUACUAAUUCACAUUCUCUGCACUAUCUUUCUUCUUCCUUCUCUUUUCUUUUAUACAUAUUUUUAAUCCAUUUGUUCUAUUGAACUUUGUGGGUAAGAAAAUUAUGUUGGUUAUAAUUAUACGUGGCCGGGCCGUGUCAUCUGGUAUCAGAGCUAGUUGAUACAAUCUCUUGAUUGAUAUCACGGUUCUUAUUUGGAAAAAAAAAACAAGUCAAAAAAAGAGCAAAAAAAAAAGAAAAAAAAAGAGAAAAAAAAAAUGAAAAAAAAAUUAUUAUCAAAAAUCAAGAUAUUUGUUAUUUACUUAUAGUUCUCGAAUCAUCUUUUCUUUUAUUAAAAAAACAAAAAAAAAUCUAUUUAGAUUAUUUGUCUUCUACCUUCAUUCUGAACUUAUAUUUCUUUUGGUUUUCCUACUGUCUUGGAUUUUUUGGCUAUCGUCUUUGGGAGAAUUCCAUCGAUUUGAUUUAAAUCCUUUUUGCGAGACGGAGAGGUACAUAAGGUGUGGAGUGAUACACGAGAGUUCUAGUGAGGUUAUUUUCUUCUUUUUUUUUCUUUCUUUCUUUCUUCUAUUUCUAAUGGCAGGGGGUGUACGACCCAAUUCUCAACAAGUUGAUGUACAAGGUCUUCUCAAUACCAUGCUACAAGAGUUCAAAACUCUUCACUAUUCUAGAUUGGAAUUGAUGAAUAAUAGGAUGGAUCAACUGGAAGAGAAUCAAAAAAAGUUACAGGAGAAUAUCCGAUCGUUACCGGAAGCUCAUAGGCGAAAUGAUGUUCAACCGCAUUUGAGGCCAAGACGCAACGUCCGGCCCCCACCCCCACACAAAUUUGACGAACCCGAUGAUGAGGAGUUUGAAGGAAAUUGGGAACGACCUAGGCAUCAUAAUAACUAUCACCGACGGGAUGGAGAUGAGGCUAUCAACUCGAUCAAGUUUCAAAUGCCACCGUUCCAAGGAAAAUCUGACCCUGAAGUAUUUUUGCAAUGGGAACGAAGGUUAGACCUAAUCUUUGAUGUUCAACAAUUAACUGAGCAACAAAAACUCCGUGUGGCUGUAAUGGAGUUUUCAGAUUAUGCCCUUGCAUGGUGGGACCAAUUGAGCAUCAACCGCCGCAGAAAUAGGGAGGCUCUAGUGCGUACUUGGACAGAACUUCGUACACUCAUGCGAAAGAGGUUUGUUCCUCCUCAUUACCAUCGUGAAGUAUUGCGGAGAUUGCAGAGCAUACAACAAGGGUCUCGGUCAGUGGAGGAGUACUAUGAGGAGCUUGAAACACUUCUUCUACAAGCCGAUAUCCAAGAAGAUCAGGAGCAAAUGAUGUCUAGAUUUUUGAAUGGGCUUCAAAGGGAUAUUGCUGAUGCGGUAGAGAUGUACCAAUACGUGGACCUCAAGGAGAUGGUACACUUGGCCAUAAAGGUGGAGAAGCAACUAAAAUCAAAGAGGAUGCAAGGUAAUCUGUUUAAACUUGCUUCAAUUGUAGGGUUACCUAAAGCACCGCUUCGACAACAUAUCAACAAAGGAAAAGCGGAGUUCAAUUUGAAGUCCUCCUUAGAAUCACCCGCAACAAGAAGUACUCCGGAUACAAUUGCAUCUACUCUUUCAUAUAGCCUAACUACCCCACAACCUCUCAAAUCUUCAUCCUCACCAAUAAAUACAUCUGGCCCGAGCCACUCUCAAAUACUCUACCCUUCUACUCAAAAAUCAAACACGAGUGUUGUGAUUCAGGGUGAAACCUGCUGGAAUAUUAAACACGAGAGUGAGAGGUCUAAUCUUUUUUAUGUGUAGGAAGGAAGCUUUACGCUUGGAACAUGGAGUUCAUUGUUUGCUAUUACUUUCUAAACCUACUUAUUUUUCCAUGAAUGACUCUAACAAACUUCCAUCUAGUUUUUCUAACUUAUUGCAGGCGUAUGAUAAUGUUUUUCCUGAUGAAGUACCCCAUGGUUUACCACCCACUCAUGGGAUUGAGCACCAAAUUGAUUUUGUCCCGGGAGCAUCAAUUCCUAAUCGGCCAGCCUAUCAAGCCAACCCGGAUGAGGUAAAAGAAAAACAAAGGCAAGUCGAGGAUCUACUGAGCAAAGGUUGGAUUCAUGAAAGCCUAAGUCCUUGUGCUUUACCUGUCCUAUUUGUGCCAAAAAAAGAUGGAGGUUGGCGCAUGUGUGUGGAUUGCCGAGCCGUCAACGCUAUAACACUUUUGUGUCGACAAGUGCAACUUUUUGGGUUUUAUUGUAAGAAAAGAUGGAGUAUGUGUAGAUCCUGCGAAUAUUGCAGCCAUCCAAGAGUGGCCUACACCUACUAGCGUGCGUGAUAUCCGCAGUUUCCAUGGCCUUGCAAGUUUCUACCGUCAAAAAAGAGGAUAAGUUUGAGUGGGGAAGUGAACAACAAAAUGCUUUUGAUACUUUAAAUUCGAAACUUACAUGUGCACCCGUACUUGCUUUACAUGAUUUCUUUAAACCGUUUGAACUUGAUGCCUCUGGUGUAGGUAUUAACGCCGUCCUCUCGCAAGAAAAGAGACCCGUUGCAUUUUUCAGUGAAAAGCUACAUGGCGCUGCGUUGAAUUACUCAACCUACAAUAAGGAAUUGUAUUCCUUAGUGCGGGCCCUGCAAACAUGGCAACAUUAUGUACGCCCUCCCGAAGCUGAAGGUGCAAUUCGUCGGUGUAGAACGUGCCUCUCGUUGAAGUCUAUUGUUCAUCCACGCGAAAAAAGGGUUGAAUUUGUCCAACAAUUUCAUUCUAAAGUUCGGGAUGACCUACGAAAGGCAGCUGACAAUUAUGCAAAACAAGCUAACUGUGGGCGCAAGAAAGUUGUAUUCGCGAUAGGGGAUUGGUUUUGGCUACACUUAAGGAAGGAAAGAUUUUCAGGAUUACGAAAGUCAAAACUUACUCCCUAUGGCGAUGGGCCUUUUCGAGUGUUGGAACACAUUAAUGAUAAUGCUUAAAAACUUGAACUCCCAGGUGAGUACCAAGUUCAGGCUACUUUUAAUGUUUCUGACUUAAGCCCUUUUGAUGUAGUGGAUUUUCGGGAGAACAAGAAAGCUUUUCAAGAAGGAGGGAAUGACGAGGACGUCAAAUCUUUAAGCAUUCAAAUGCCCGUGGGACCCAUCACUCGAAGCCGAGCUCGUCAGUUUCAAAAAUCCGUCACUACAUUGAUCAUACGUUUUUUCAUGGAGAAUCAAUUUAAGGAUGAUGCUUGGAGACCACUUAGCCCUCACCUGACGCGCCUUCAAUGGGACCCGCAAGAAUCCCAAUUGAAAGAUCAAGAGAAUCGCUAAUCAUGGAAGAUUAUCAAGGGAAUCAUCACUUAUGGAGAGAAUCACUAAUCAUGGAAGUAUAUCAAGGGAAUCCUCACUUAUGGAGAGAAUCACUAAUCAUGGAAGUAUAUCAAGGGAAUCAUCACUUAUGGAGAGAAUCACUAAUCAUGGAAGUAUAUCAAGGGAAUCAUCACUUAUUUCCUUUUAUUAUAAGUUUCCAUAUAGUAUAAUUCCAUAUCUAAAACUUCCCUAAUUAUUUAUUUCCUUAUUGUUAGACUUA